rnacentral:misc_RNA from 1 species
AAAGUGCAAGUGGACAAAUUCUGUUGAUGUUACAAACAUAACCUCACUUGUCGUUUUUUUAAACUGACGAAAAAAAAAUCAGACUGAUAGAUCAUGACAGAUAUAUAGAUUUAUAACAUAUACACAUCGCGCUUGUAUCGUUAAGUAUUUUCUAAUUUUGUAAAUCAAAGAAGGAGUAAAUAUAAGAACGAUAAUUGUUUCUUAUUAUGUGCAAUUAACCGCCUUAUACAUGACAGCUUCAUAUGUCAAAUAUAUUUCUGUGCGGGCAUUUGAAGUCAUUAGCUGCGACAAAAAUUUAUCUAUUUUACAGUUCAUGAGAUCUGUAUGGCACAAUAUAUUUCGCGAUAUCUCGUGAAACUUACAAGAUGGUAUUCCCGACGCGCAUAUUACACAAAACCAACAGAAUCUCACACUAUCACCACAAUGUUUUUGUGAUAUGUUUAUUAUUAUUUACACUGUUUGUCGUAUUGAUCUCGGUAUAUAUCUUUAAGUUUGGCAAUACACAGAAACGUUCUGAACACAUUCCUAUAACGCUGAAUGAUAUAAACACUCUACCUGUCCAAACGUUAUCCGCUAACUUGGCCACGGCUGAUGCCACCAAUUCUUCUUGCACAUACUUCACCUGUUUUAAUGUGUAUCGAUGCGGCAGCCAGGGGAACAAACUUUUGAUAUACGUCUAUCCACCUAAGGUGUACUUAGAUUCUAUGGGUAGACAAGUAACAAGCCAGAUGACAAAAGAGUUUUAUCAGAUUCUGAAUGCUAUUAUCAACAGUAAAUUUUAUACUCCUAAUCCAUAUGAGGCUUGCAUUUUUAUUCCUUCCAUUGAUACUCUCAAUCAAAAUAGAUUGAGGUUGCAAGAGGUCUCUCGAGCAUUAAGAUCAUUACCUUUCUGGAACAAAGGAGAGAAUCAUUUAAUCUUCAACAUGGUACCUGGAAGUGUACCAGACUAUAAUACUGUCAUUGAUGUCUCAGUAGGAAGAGCAAUGAUUGCUGGCGCCGGAAUGUCAUCGUUAACAUACAGGCCCAGUUUUGACAUUAGCUUACCAGUGUAUAGUCCACUUGUAAAUAAUCUCAAGACAAAUCAUAGUAAUACAAGAACGUGGUUAGUUAUAUCUUCGCAAAUCAAUAUUAAUACUGCCUUUGAACAAGAUUUAAUGGAAUUAAAAACGACAAAUCCAAAAGAUAUUUUAGUGUUAGGCCCAUGUUUGCACUUUAACCCAAUGAAUAAUACUAUACGUUGCGUGGGAGAGGAUAUAUACAAAUAUCCUGAUAUUUUGCAAUCGGCAACAUUUUGCCUGAUAAUCCGCGGCGCUAGGCUUGCCCAAAGUUCACUUUUGGAUGCAAUAGCGGCUGGCUGUUUGCCUGUAAUUAUAGCCGAUUCUUUAAUGAUGCCAUUUCACGAUGUAAUCGACUGGACCAAAGCCGCUGUUCUUGUACGCGAAGUUGAUAUUUUAUUAAUAAUUCAACAGCUGAAAAAGAUAUCUCCGCAGCGUAUCGCGGAGAUGCAAGAACAGAAUGUAUGGCUGUAUGAUCGUUAUUUCAGUUCGAUGCAGAAGAUCACGGAAACCACGUUAGAGAUCCUCGCAGACCGUGUAUUUCCUCAUUUAACACGCGAUUACACAUAUUGGAAUAUACCGCCUUUUAAGGGAAGGCAGUCGCCACUUUUUCUGCCAGCAACUGCUCCUAAAACACGCGGUUUCACCGCUGUAAUAUUAACAUACGAUAGAGUGGAAUUAUUGUUUCUAUUAAUUAACAAAUUAGUGAAGGUACCCAGUCUGUCCAAAGUUCUGGUAAUUUGGAACAAUCAGCAUAAGGAUCCACCGCAUUCGACAAGAUGGCCAAAAGUGAAUAAACCAUUAAAAGUGAUUCAAACGAAAGAAAAUAAAUUGUCCAAUCGAUUUUAUCCGUACGAUGAGAUUGAAACUGAAGCAGUAUUGUCAAUUGAUGAUGACAUCAUCAUGUUGACUGCUGACGAAGUAGAAUUUGCUUACGAGGUAUGGAGAGAAUUUCCGGACAGAAUUGUUGGAUUUCCAUCUCGCAUACAUAUGUGGGAUAAUAGUACUAAUUGUUGGAAAUACGAGAGCGAAUGGACAAACAGUAUUUCCAUGGUUUUAACGGGGGCUGCUUUUCAUCACAAGGUAAGUGUUGCGAAAAGUUACAAACGUUUAUGUCAUUUCUUUGUCAAGGUAUUAUGUGCCCAAUUUUUUUUCUUUAAUAUGUGUUUUGUGUUUGCUUAAUAUGUUUCAGACCACAUAUAUAUUGCCAUAAAAAUCCUAGGAUUUUGUUUCUCCUAGUUAAAAAAAAUCCAACGUCCUUUCCUGUCUGUCCAUCCUGAAGAAUGUAUAAAUUAAUCCAGCAAAUAUUGGAAUUAUAUGUAUACCACAGCCAUGCCAGGUGAUAUAAAGGAGUGGGUGGACGAGCAUAUGAACUGUGAGGAUAUCGCAAUG